rnacentral:rRNA from 1 species
UACGUAGGGGGCAAGCGUUGUCCGGAAUCAUUGGGCGUAAAGAGCGCGUAGGCGGCCAGGCAAGUCCGGCGUGAAAGUCACAGGCUCAACCUGUGAAUGCCGCUGGAAACUGCCUGGCUAGAGUCCGGAAGGGGCGAGCGGAAUUCCUGGUGUAGCGGUGAAAUGCGCAGAUAUCAGGAGGAACACCUAUGGCGAAGGCAGCUCGCUGGGACGGUACUGACGCUGAGGCGCGAAAGCGUGGGGAGCGAACAGG